rnacentral:rRNA from 1 species
GACGAACGCUGGCGGCGUGCCUAAUACAUGCAAGUAGAACGCUGAAGAGAGGCGCUUGCUCUUCUUGGAUGAGUUGCGAACGGGUGAGUAACGCGUAGGUAACCUGCCUUGUAGCGGGGGAUAACUAUUGGAAACGAUAGUUAAUACCGCAUAACAAUGGAUUACACAUGUCAUUUAUUUGAAAUGCGCCAUUGCUGCACUACAAGAUGGAUCUGCGUUGUAUUAGCUAGUAGGUGAGGUAAUGGCUCACCUAGGGGACGAUACAUAGCCGAACUGAGAGGGUGGUUGGCCGGCCUGGGAGGGAGACAGGGCCCAGAGGGCCAGGGGAGGCAGCAAGAGGGAAACGGGAGGAAGGAGGGGAAAACAGACCAAGAAAGGCGGAGUGAGGGAAGAAGGUUGUCGGGUGGGAAAGGACGGUUGUAAGGCAAGAACGGGUGUGAGAGUGGAAAGUUCACACAGUGACGGUAGCGGACCAAAAAGGAACGGCUAACUACGUG